rnacentral:rRNA from 1 species
UACCGCGGUUAUACGAGAGGCCCAAGUUGACAGGCACCGGCGUAAAGCGUGGUUAAGGAACAAAACACACUAAAGCCGAACGCUUACUAGGCUGUUAUACGCUUACGAAAGUAAGAAGCACAUCCACGAAGGUGGCUUUAUUACACCUGAACCCACGAAAGCCAAGAUA